UACGGAAGGUCCGGGCGUUAUCCGGAUUUAUUGGGUUUAAAGGGAGCGUAGGCCGGAGAUUAAGCGUGUUGUGAAAUGUAGACGCUCAACGUCUGCACUGCAGCGCGAACUGGUUUCCUUGAGUACGCACAAAGUGGGCGGAAUUCGUGGUGUAGCGGUGAAAUGCUUAGAUAUCACGAAGAACUCCGAUUGCGAAGGCAGCUCACUGGAGCGCAACUGACGCUGAAGCUCGAAAGUGCGGGUAUCGAACAGGAUUAGAUACCCCGGUAGUGCUGACUGACU
rnacentral:rRNA from 1 species